rnacentral:rRNA from 1 species
UGUGAGCUCGAUGAGUAGGGCGGGACACGUGGUAUCCUGUCUGAAUAUGGGGGGACCAUCCUCCAAGGCUAAAUACUCCUGACUGACCGAUAGUGAACCAGUACCGUGAGGGAAAGGCGAAAAGAACCCCGGCGAGGGGAGUGAAAAAGAACCUGAAACCGUGUACGUACAAGCAGUGGGAGCACGCUUAGGCGUGUGACUGCGUACCUUUUGUAUAAUGGGUCAGCGACUUAUAUUCUGUAGCAAGGUUAACCGAAUAGGGGAGCCGAAGGGAAACCGAGUCUUAACUGGGCGUUAAGUUGCAGGGUAUAGACCCGAAACCCGGUGAUCUAGCCAUGGGCAGGUUGAAGGUUGGGUAACACUAACUGGAGGACCGAACCGACUAAUGUUGAAAAAUUAGCGGAUGACUUGUGGCUGGGGGUGAAAGGCCAAUCAAACCGGGAGAUAGCUGGUUCUCCCCGAAAGCUAUUUAGGUAGCGCCUCGUGAAUUCAUCUCCGGGGGUAGAGCACUGUUUCGGCAAGGGGGUCAUCCCGACUUACCAACCCGAUGCAAACUGCGAAUACCGGAGAAUGUUAUCACGGGAGACACACGGCGGGUGCUAACGUCCGUCGUGAAGAGGGAAACAACCCAGACCGCCAGCUAAGGUCCCAAAGUCAUGGUUAAGUGGGAAACGAUGUGGGAAGGCCCAGACAGCCAGGAUGUUGGCUUAGAAGCAGCCAUCAUUUAAAGAAAGCGUAAUAGCUCACUGGUCGAGUCGGCCUGCGCGGAAGAUGUAACGGGGCUAAACCAUGCACCGAAGCUGCGGCAGCGACGCUUAUGCGUUGUUGGGUAGGGGAGCGUUCUGUAAGCCUGCGAAGGUGUGCUGUGAGGCAUGCUGGAGGUAUCAGAAGUGCGAAUGCUGACAUAAGUAACGAUAAAGCGGGUGAAAAGCCCGCUCGCCGGAAGACCAAGGGUUCCUGUCCAACGUUAAUCGGGGCAGGGUGAGUCGACCCCUAAGGCGAGGCCGAAAGGCGUAGUCGAUGGGAAACAGGUUAAUAUUCCUGUACUUGGUGUUACUGCGAAGGGGGGACGGAGAAGGCUAUGUUGGCCGGGCGACGGUUGUCCCGGUUUAAGCGUGUAGGCUGGUUUUCCAGGCAAAUCCGGAAAAAGCCUCUAAGCAUCAGGUAACAUCAAAUCGUACCCCAAACCGACACAGGUGGUCAGGUAGAGAAUACCAAGGCGCUUGAGAGAACUCGGGUGAAGGAACUAGGCAAAAUGGUGCCGUAACUUCGGGAGAAGGCACGCUGAUAUGUAGGUGAAGUCCCUCGCGGAUGGAGCUGAAAUCAGUCGAAGAUACCAGCUGGCUGCAACUGUUUAUUAAAAACACAGCACUGUGCAAACACGAAAGUGGACGUAUACGGUGUGACGCCUGCCCGGUGCCGGAAGGUUAAUUGAUGGGGUUAGCGGUAACGCGAAGCUCUUGAUCGAAGCCCCGGUAAACGGCGGCCGUAACUAUAACGGUCCUAAGGUAGCGAAAUUCCUUGUCGGGUAAGUUCCGACCUGCACGAAUGGCGUAAUGAUGGCCAGGCUGUCUCCACCCGAGACUCAGUGAAAUUGAACUCGCUGUGAAGAUGCAGUGUACCCGCGGCAAGACGGAAAGACCCCGUGAACCUUUACUAUAGCUUGACACUGAACAUUGAGCCUUGAUGUGUAGGAUAGGUGGGAGGCUUUGAAGUGUGGACGCCAGUCUGCAUGGAGCCGGCCUUGAAAUACCACCCUUUAAUGUUUGAUGUUCUAACGUUGACCCGUAAUCCGGGUUGCGGACAGUGUCUGGUGGGUAGUUUGACUGGGGCGGUCUCCUCCUAAAGAGUAACGGAGGAGCACGAAGGUUGGCUAAUCCUGGUCGGACAUCAGGAGGUUAGUGCAAUGGCAUAAGCCAGCUUGACUGCGAGCGUGACGGCGCGAGCAGGUGCGAAAGCAGGUCAUAGUGAUCCGGUGGUUCUGAAUGGAAGGGCCAUCGCUCAACGGAUAAAAGGUACUCCGGGGAUAACAGGCUGAUACCGCCCAAGAGUUCAUAUCGACGGCGGUGUUUGGCACCUCG